AAUCCUUGAUGUGGGCAUCUCUAAGAAAUUCCUUGAAUUUUUCACAUGCUUCAUAUAAUGAUUCAUUAUCCAUCUGCAUAAAAUUAGUAAUAUUGUUAUGCAUUUU